rnacentral:rRNA from 1 species
UACGGAGGGGGCAAGCGUUGUUCGGAAUUACUGGGCGUAAAGCGCGCGUAGGCGGUCAACUAAGUCAGAUGUGAAAUCCCCAGGCUUAACCUGGGAACUGCGUUUGAAACUGGAAGGCUAGAGUGUGGCAGAGGGGGGUGGAAUUCCCAGUGUAGCAGUGAAAUGCGUAGAGAUGGGGAGGAACACCGAUGGCGAAGGCAGCCCCCUGGGCUGAUACUGACGCUGAUGCACGAAAGCGUGGGGAGCAAACAGG